UAAACACAAUUAAAAUCCUUCCAGAGCGCAUUGAGAUGGCAAACCGCAUCUGUUGUGUUCUAACAAAAAUACACCCCAAACAGCCUGCAUCUAUUUUGUAAAUUAAACUAUAUAGAGAGAGAGAGACUUUAACCUAACUAAAUCGACUUGAAUCAUAAUCCUAAUAAAAUAAAACGAAACAGUCGGCUUUAAAAGCGCUUCUGAAUCCUCUCCACGCGCACUGAGCGCGCAGUGCCGCUUGCUCCCUCACGAGGGCGCUCAGGGCUAGGCGACAGCAGCAGAUCUGGGCCGCUCUCCGAAAUCAAGACAUCCAGCUAAAAACCCGCACAAACUUCAUCUCAGAGCUCCAGUGUUGUGACAACUCUAAUGUGUGUUACAAAAGUAGGCCAAGGCAUCAAGAGGGGCGGCCGAUGUGUAACACAGCUAUCGUUAUUGUUAACAUUAAUAUUGCAUUUGCAGUUAAACGAAGAGUUCAGCACGCAACCCAUAGUAUCAUGACACUGCGCCACAGCAGCGCCAGACAGAGGAACACGCGCGUCUUUGAUGAGGUCAAACUGAAACAGAAGCAGGAGACGUGUUUGUGAGAGAGGGAGGCGAGUGUCUGCAGCUAGAGGGCAGUCAUGUACGGGGGCCGUGGAGACCUGGAGACGGACAGAAGAAAGGUCAAACACCUCCUCUUUCUUCACACUCACUCUCCAUCCUCUCACACUCAGGUCUGCCACUCCAUCAGUCGACCUCCGACUUUAACAAGUGUCUCCAUGCUGUAAUUAACUGCUCUGGUUAGAGUUCAUUAAAGUCAGAUCCAGGAUCAGUUUCCCAUAAUCAGAUUCUUAUCGCACACAUUAUGUCUGGAAUCCAAAUCUGGCCACGGACCAGAGGAGAAGCACAUUACCUUCAACAGACACUUUUACACAUGAUGCACUGUGAGUCAGGGAAA